rnacentral:rRNA from 1 species
UACGGGGGGGCAAGCGUUGUUCGGAAUUACUGGGCGUAAAGGGCUCGUAGGCGGCCAACUAAGUCAUACGUGAAAUCCCUCGGCUUAACCGGGGAACUGCGUCUGAUACUGGAUGGCUUGAGUUCGGGAGAGGGAUGCGGAAUUCCAGGUGUAGCGGUGAAAUGCGUAGAUAUCUGGAGGAACACCGGUGGCGAAGGCGGCAUCCUGGACCGGUAUUGACGCUGAUGAGCGAAAGCCAGGGGAGCAAACGGG